GAGGAGGUGAAGGGGUGGAAAGAUCAAAGUCAACUUUUUUUUUUCGCCUCGAGCCCGAUGGAGAAAUAAUCCGGUAAAAGGCCUCCACUCCUCCGUUACUUUUGCGAGGAAAACCCCAAGACGCGGAGUCUGGUCGCGUUAACCAAAAUCUUGGACAAAGGAACCCGCCUUGCCGAGUGUAAAAGCUAUUCUUUGGAAUCGUAGCAGAAGGAAAAUCAAUCGAUGAACCUCUUUGUCGCCCCAAACACAAUACAGCUUAAUAACGAGCAGAACGUUUCGAUAUCGUUAAGGGAUGUCUCUCCAAACUAGGCAAAUUGCUACAGGACGGGGAAUCCUCUUUAAAAAUUAAUUCCAAGGGAACGAAUGCGAGAAAACUAAGAAAAAUUUUAUUUGAAUAUGUUUAUAAGAAACCAUUUUUUAGAGAUUCUUGAUAUCUUGAAGAGUGAGAUAAUUUCUUUUUUUGUUUUAAUUAUUCAUAUAUAGGGUGUUAAGAAUGGUGAUUUAUUAAAGGAUCAUCUUCAAGAAGAGAGCAACUGUCUUACAAAGUUUCAGAGUAUUUUUUUCUUUUAGAGAGACAGUCUGCUCGAGUUGCACAUCGGUGAAUGCGUUCGAGCAGGGCGCAAGGGGACGAGAUGCACGGCGUAGUUCCAUUGACUGUUAGACAAUACUAUAUUAUUCUUAUUGUUGCUCGGUAUCUAACUACUAUUGUGUACAUGUCUCUAUCGUAUCCGAGAAUGUCACACAACGUAUGCAUGGUUAAGACCAUAUCGAACGAUAGCGCAAGAUUGCGUCAGGCUAAAGAUUGUUGACAUCUGAUGUUUCACAUCAUCGAUGUAAAUGUCUUCUUUUCUUAUACCAUUUACUCGUUACCCUAUUUUCAAUUCAUUCCAAGCACUCGCUGUUGUCGAUUUUCUAAAAAGUUCGUAAAUUCUCGUUGCAACCCCUUAGGUAAAGGUUUCGGUUAAGACUCGAGCCAUUCACGGGAGACCACUGGUCCUUUCCCAAGAAUCGAGUCCUCCCGAGACGCGCAAAGAGCUCGCUCGUGGGACCUUGCACCCGAAAUUCAACCCCCUUACGCGGUCAGAAUUGGAAGUCCGCGAGAGGGAUCCCCGGUACGAAAACACCGCGGGGGUUGAGAGAGAAUCUCGUUUCUGGGUGACUCGUGGCUGGAAGAAGAACGUACGAGGCAGAAUUCGCGGGACAAAGGGAGAGAGCGAGGCGCGGAAACGCAGGGUACAGAAACACAUUACGGGGGCGGAGGAACGUUUGGCGGAGGGUGGGAGGGGGGCGAGUAGCCGAAGAGAGAUAAAGAAUUCUAGGAAGGAAGGAAGGCAGGCAGGAAGGAAGGAACGCGCGAACUAACGACGUGCUGCCGAUGGAGAGAAAUAGAGAUAAAGAGAAGCGAGACGGAGUCCUCGAUCCCCCUGACUCGCCCCUGAAGUUUGCUCUCGUUGGGAAGGAGGUUGCACGCCCUUGAACGAAGACGGGCAACAGGACCCCGCGACGUGCAUCCGUUUGAACAGAGACGAACGCAACGGGAAACGAGUAGUGGGUGGCCUGGCCUAGCCUGGCCUAGCAGCGACUGGGCUCGGCGGACCUAGGAGCGAGAGAGACAGAGAUCGGGAGCUAGAAGAAACGCGGGUAGGUACGAGGGCUCGAUUUUCUGGGUGACGCGUGCGCGACGGACGCCGCGGCGCGCUCGCGCCAUCAGUACCGACCACCACCACCAGCGUCGUCGUCACCACCACCCAACGUCGACGACCACCUCCAGCAGAGCAGGCGCGACGGUGCUGGCCAGCGGCAAGCGGGUAACGAGACCGCGCCGGCAGAGAAACGGCACCUACCAUCAGUACGAUCACGAGCAUCGCCAACCCCGUCUCGUCGCGGAAAAUGCGCGGCAGGGGUGGAAAAGGGCCGACGUUGAAUCGUACCCUGCCUGGUUUUCGGCGGACGACGACACAGCAGCCUGUUCACGGCGAGGGAAUGCUCUCCUGGUGGGGGUCCGACUCGCGUGUGGGUGAGAGGGUUAGGGGUGGGUGGUUCGGUGGUGGUGGCUCCGGAGCCGACAUCCUCGUUCUAGGGUGGAAACCACCGGCACAACCGAGGGCUAGUGGGGGAUCCAGAGACGGCUACAACGAGAGGCGGCUUGGUUGGAGGGCGAACAGUCGAUCCCUGGGGCAUUUCCAGGGGGAUUGGGGGUUGAUAUCGAGGGGCAGGGCUACGUGGGCGAAGACGGAGAGGGCGCAGUGGUCCCGCGACCAUCAAACCAACAACACCGUCCCGACACAAAACGGCGCAUUCUGCUGCGCCCCUUUCUUCUUCUUCUCUGCCGCUGCUUUCGUCUUCUUCGUUGACACGUCCUGCCUCCGCCGUAGUCGGCCGCGACGGCAUCGGCCUCGUCCACGUCCUUUACUUGUCGGCUCGAAAGGUACCGGCACGCUUCCCGCCUAAGGAUUCCCCAUGGUUUUUCGGCCUCGCAAGUUCCUAACUACCCCGGAUCUGCGACGGAUCGGGUCGCGAUACGGUUCUCCGCGACCGGUGACCGUGGCUGGAGGAUCAAGAGGACCGCAAGAUCGACGAUCCCGCCGCGAACCGGCCACCCUCCAGGACACGGAGUUCACAGAUACCAGGUACAACUAUGCGGUUCGUCGGCUCGGUACCAGGGCUCUCAUGAAUGAAGAAGGGUUCACCAGGAUCGAUGAAGAGGGCGUGCCUUCGGGGGAGGAUUGGUGAUCCGUGACGUUUUCAACCCCACCUGAGAAGGGCGCAAACGGAGUGCACGUGCUCGAUUACGUCACGAGGACACACGGACCGGGAGAGCGAAGCCAUUCAGCGAUCCUGUCCGACGAUCCUCGGAGUCUUCCUGUCGCCACGAGGAACAGAGAAUGCCCGUGGGAUGCAAGAGUGGGAUUACGGAGACUUCGGAGAAGCGAGAAUCGAUACGGGUACCACCAUCGAAGAAGGAAGAUGCGUGAGUCUGUGCUCCUUGCGUUCACUGCGGGCUUCCAUGUGCCAACUUUUCAAAAUUCAUAAGGCACGCGGUGAAUGCCAAGAGCGGACCAAAUUCAACGUUCCACGUUAAAAGCCCAGCUCGAGUCCUGGACGCUUCAGGAUAGUUUAACCGCUCGUUAUCUUAGACACGACAGGUCAGUAGAAAAAGCAAAUCUCAUUUCUUACGGAACUCAACGACUCCCUCCCCUCCAACGAUCUCCUUCUGUAGAUACUCAUUUGUGGAAGUACCGCAACAAGUAGUACGAAUCGUACCUCGUGAAUGGGGCGGCAUAAAUCAGUAUUUGUAGAUCGAAGUAUUUAUUUAACCCUUUCGUGCGUAGCAGUCUGAUCUGUCGCAAAUCAAAUAACAGAAUGCGUUUGUAAAUUUCAUUUAAAUUGUUUUAUUAUCGUAUGGAAUGUGGACAUGGAUUGUAACAAGUGGUAUGCAAAGCUCGAUAAAGAAUCUUUGAAGAAUGAAACACGUAGCUGAUGCUGUAUUGCUUUUUACUUACUUUUAUGUUAAAGAUUAUUGUCUUUGGAUUAUUGAAGAAGGCCUUAAUCUAUAUAGUCUUACUACUUUUUUCUUACCGCAUUAGAAUCUCAAUUAUCAUGCUAUGCAGAAAAUUAUCUAAGAAUAUUGAUGAUUUUUACAAUUUUGUUGUUGAUUCUGGUUCCCAUUGAUAAGUAGUACGAUUUCGAUAAAAUAGUCUGGAAGAAUCCUCUUUUCAACCCCCCUCGUACCAUGCCACCCUAAUCGUAGUAUUUACUAACAACGUAGUAUCUAUACGCUAACUUCAAACCCUGUACAUACAUUUUUUGUAAUAAAAAAAAAUCGUCCCCCGUACGAUGUGUCUGCAUUUCUCAAUCAUCCCUCCAUCGCGAUACUCUUCUCUCCUCCAGUCUACCAGUGGCAGGUAAGGAACCUUGAACUAUUUUUCACCGAAUACCUAAUUUCAUUCGUAAUCACCCAUUGAGCCUCGAGAAGAAAGAAAUCGAUACGUAAACUCGACGAAUCAAAGUCCAACCACCCCGUCGACGAAGGCACGAUGUUCAACGUUUCCGAAAAACGCAUCGUCGCCGUCGUUGCACUCGUUCGUCAAUCGUCGCACGAAUAAAAUUUCAUCCCCGAACGCCAGUAUCGCGUAUUCCCUGGAAGAUAACCUCGUAGCUCGAGUCCAAGUGGCGAUUCGCAGCGGCAUCGGCGAGCAGCGGACGGGGUAGCAGAGGUUGGCAAUCGUUUUAAGUGUCCCAGCGUGGCACGAGGUUGGCCGGGGCCGAGGGUGUGGGGAGACAGGUCGAGCUUAAAGUCGGAACCGCCGCCCCCCGUAAUGGAAAUUGGAGAAUCCACGGGCGUACGACGAAAACGGCUGGUUGUAUCGACCGAGUCCUCAUCCGCGGAAUGGGCAAACACAGGGACGACGAAGGGGCGAGGGCGGCUGCCGCGGGGGAGAGGGAUGGACGGAGGUUUAAGGGUGGACGUACGUUGCCUGGCAACCCAUCCCUUCUCGCAGCAUCCCAACCCCCUCUGGAACCGUCGACUACUCGCAUCCACCGACGACGCGAGCUACCAAUACCACCGCCACCCCCACACCCCAGAUGACGUCGCUUCCGCUUCUACCCAGCAACCACCGGGGCUCUGCUCCCCGUUCUGCCUCCUUCUCGGAAGCGAAUCUCUCUCCCGAUGUCUCUAUCUCUCUCCUCCGACGGUACAUACAUCUCUCUUCCUCUCUCUCUCUCUCUCUCUCUUCAUCCCUAUUUCCCCUCUUUCUCUCUCUCUCUCAGCGGAGCGUCCGACACUCCACGCAGCCUCUCCUCCAUUAUUCAGGGCCGAUGCUCAACCACUGUCCCUUUUCGCCAGCUUCCGUCUCCCAGGCUGCCGGAUACGCGUUUUUUCUUCUUCUUCAUUCCAGCUUUCACCGCUCGGCUGCGGAGAACUCUCCGGAAUAAUGGAAGUCUGAGAACGCGAAUUAGACGCUCGCCAGCGACCGUGGAUUAUUGACGAUCGGGGGUAGGGAGUAUUAGCGACUCGGUGGUAAGGGAAGGUUUGUUUCCUACUUCGUGUUCUCUGAAGGUGGGGGAUGUUGAUCGUUAACAACGGGGGGAUAGUUUUUUUUCGAAUAGAAUUAAACGUAUCGUGCUUUCUUUCGGAUAGAAUUAACCCUCGGGACUCCGGAUGUCCAGUAUUCGGAGAUGUCGCAAGUCUAGCAAACCUUUCGCGUAUCUUUUUGCCACGCCUACGAAUAAAAAUGCUUGCGUAAGUAAGCUGCGUAGAAUUUUUCAAUCGAUCGUGUCCUCGUCUAAACUGUAUUGAUCAAGGUUUACGUUGAAUAUCACGGUACUGUGUAUUUUCAUUGAAGUAUGUUAAAAUCGGUUAUUCCAACUCUGAAAUCGAUCGAGUACGUGACUCGGUGACGUAAUAUUACGUGCAUUUUCGCUAACGCGAAGGUAUUACGUCAAAUUAGAAAAUAAAAUAUAACGCAGACAGGUUUCUCGUUGCAAUUAAAAGUAGUGUUUCAACCUUAAAUAUUGCAGAAUAAUACAAAGAGAUUAUAAAAAAAAAUAUAUGAAUUCACUCUAUCAGACAUUUUAUGUUAACCAACUGUCUGUUAACUUGAUCGAAUAAACAAUAGUCCGUACCAAAAGACCGCAGAGUUGAUGUCAUAACACCCAAAUAAUCUAAAACUAGUACCCAAGAAACGCUACACAAAGAACACGAAAAAGUAACAACCAAAAUAAUGAAGCAUAAAUCAACGGAUAAUCACUCAGCUGUAACAUUCAAAAUAAAUUCAGUUCGCUAAUAAAAUACACCCCGGUCGCAGAUUCCACGCUAACGAGCGUUCGCGAAAAUUCAGCUACCCUACCAGCGUCCCUCGCCGAUCGAAUCGCUCUUUCAAUCCCCCGGUGCUCGCAGGUCAUUAUCUCGUGAAAUCGUGGUCAUUAUCUCGUGCGGAGAGCAACGGCAUCAUCGGCGUGCCUAGUCAAGCGCGAGCACACCCCCAUGGUAACGCGUGCAGGACGAGAACAAACGACGCGGCGGCAAAGGCCGCCCCGGAAGGUAAAAGUGGAAGGUAUUCCUUUUUGAAACGCCACACCCGUUCGCUCCAACCCCCGAAAAUUCUCUCGUCUCGCGACAAAGAGAUUCAGAUGAAGGUCACUUUACCGGUAGGAACAGCCUAGAGGGAAACCGUGGACGAAAAGAGGUGAAGGGGGUC